UUUUUUUUUGUAUAUGGCCAGCUUGCCCAUGUUUAUGAAUGAAUAGUUCUACAGCUUUCUUAGAUUUUGUUAGAACUUUAACUCUAGACUAUCCAUAGUCAAUUUUAAGUCUUCUCUAGAUUUUUUGAUUUUGUGUCUAGCUCCCGAGUCUUAACCUUUAUCAUGAAAUGGAGCUAGCAUAUCUACUUUUGUACUCUUUGCAUCUUCUUGAUGCCGGUAAUGAAACAACUUAAUUCAUUAAAAAAAAUAUGACAUAAUUGAACAGUCCAAAAACUCUCCAUAAAUGAGGACACUCUACUUUGGAUGAAGGACAAGAAAGGGAAAUGUAUUGUGAAAUAAGCCCACAAAUAUUUUGACAAUUCAGUACCAAUAUCUGAAUCAUGGCAUUGGAAGAUUAUCAAGAAAGUCAAGAUACCUCACAAGGUGGCAUUUUUAACCUAAUUAGUGGCUAAGAACACUGUCCUAACACAGGAUAAUCUAGUGAAAAGGGCAAUCAGUUAUGUUCUACGUGUUUUUUUGUGAAACUGGAACAGAGACAAUAAAUCAUCUUUUCUUACAUUGUAAAGUGACUAAACAACUUUAGCAGAUCUUCAUCAAAUUGAGGGGUAUCAGGUGGUCUAUGCCAAUAAGUACAUCAUAAGUUCUAGCAUACUAGAAUAGAAAUGGUAACCUAUGACGACACAAGGAGAGAUGAAAGAUUGUCUCUGCUUGCAUCUAGUGGACAAAAUGGAAGGAGAGAAAUCAAAGGUGUUUUGAAGAUAUUUCUAGACGUUGAAAAUGAAUUGCUUGGUGAUUUUCUAUUUUUUGGUGUAUCCAUGAACUUUCUAAGGAGAUAGAGGACAUUACACAUGUUUUAGACAGUUUAUAGGUGGUAGGUUUUGUUUCCUUUAUACUACUAUUGUAAUAACUACUGAAAUACACUGUUAGGUGUAUUUCUUGUUUAUAAUAGAUGUUAAUCAGUUCAAAAAAAAUCUUAUGUGAGAACUAGGAUUUCUUCUUCUUCUUCUUUGUUUGUGAGAAAGAGGGAAAAUGAGCUAUAUGAGAGUUUUAAAGUCAUACAUUGUACGAAAAAAAAGAGGUGGAGGUAGACCAAAGAAAUAUUGGAGAGAAGUGAUUAGACAGGACAUGUCGCAGUUGCAACUUACUUAGGACAUAACCUUAGAUAGAAAGGUGAGAAGGACAAGAAUUAGGGUAGAAGGUUAGUAGGUAGGAGUGUGUCCAUACUGGUAGGCAAGAGGGCUUUGUCUUAUUGCCCUUACUAGUAGUCGUAGGACUACUCUUGUAGUUUGUUGUUUAACAAUUUCUUUUACUAUCUAUUAGUUUGUGUAGUUCGUUUGUAGUAUUAUUUUUGUUGUAGUACUAUUCUUUUACUAUCUAUUGUCUCUUGUGCUUCCGUUAUGUUUCUUUGCUAGAAUGAUUUUGUCUUAAGCUGGGGUUCUAUCGUAAUCACUCUCUCUACCUCACCUCUGAGGUAGAGCUUCCUGGGUACACUCUACCCUCCCUAGACCCCAUUGUGUGAGACUUUACUGGGUAUGUUGUUGUUGUUGUUGUUUUUGUUGUUGUACAUUGUAUGAAAAAUGGUCAAAAUGGCCUGCCCUAUUUGAAGAGAGAAAAGGCUCACAACAGUCCACUAUUAUUUGAACUUAGGCUUAAUAUAGUUACCUAGUACCUGUUGUUGGUGGGAGGUGGUAAGUAUCUCAUGGAAUAAGUUGAGGUGUGCUAAAACUAGCCCAGACACCAUGGUCAUAAAAAAUCCCUUUUCUUUGAAAGAAUGGAGCACUUUCGGUCAUAACCCUAACUAUAGUGAAUUUUUAUCAGAGACUAAACUUCAUGUGCUACUUACGCAUUUCUAAUCCUAAUCUCUAACCUUCACUGUUCUCAUUUUUCUUAACUCAGACCACAUGUAGACAAACAUAUACAUAUACAUAUACAUAUAGAACUAAAGAUAUACAGUAGUCUUGUUGGUAACUUCUUUUGUUCUCUUUCCUUAAAUUGUUUGUUUCCUUAUUGAACUUCUCGAAGGGCUAGACCUGUGUACGAAGGAAUUUUCUUUUGAAUUGCCUAGACAUUUGUUGACAAUAUUAUGUUUUGAUAGCCUUGGGAUUUUAGAUGUUUAACAGGGUUUUCCUAGUCUUUAAUAAUGACUACUAGAUUCUCACCUAUAGAUACUUCAAGUUAAGUACUUAGUGUGUAAAUAUGAUUUUGGCCGAAUGAUUGGAAGUUCAGUAUACCAUGAAGGCUUGUAUCAUGCCCCAAGUCUACACCCUAGACGUGGCCGGCACUCAAGAACCAUUGAUGGUCCCUAAGCAAACUCUCAUCUUAGCUGACUAACUUAAAUAGGCAAAAGCUUAAAACGGAAUGAAAUUCAUGAAACUCAAAUACAAAGCUUUAACUCAAAUGAUUUACUCUGAAUAUAAAUAGAAUAUUCAACUAGCCAACAAUAGGCAACUCAAGUCUUUAAUACAUUUAAUAAGAUAAAUGAAACAGACUUCUCAAACUCUAUUGUCUAUCUAUGAAGCCUCUAACUGAGAAAGAUGGAAGUCGGGACAAGACCCACGACAUCCUAACAACUGAUAUAACUGAAAGUACAAGUGGAACCCUCCGGAAGCAAUGAGGCUCACCAUAUCUAAAUCGAACUGCAUGUGGUAUCAAUAAAGCAUCUGUUAAUGAUCCUGAGUACCUGUAUCUGCAUCACAAAAUGAAGCAGGACAAAUGCUCAGUACAUGGAACGUACAAGCAUUUAAGGGGAAUUCUAAAGCAUAAACAUAAGCUUGAACUGAUGAAAAAUAAACAUACUUACCUCUUCUUAACUCACUCAACUCAGCUCAACUCAAAGAAACAUGGUUCAACUCAACUAAAGGAAUACUCAAGGACACUCAAAACUACUCAAACUUACUCAACUCAGAAGUACUCAAGGUAAGAUACUCAACUCAGAAAUAAGGUUCUCAACUAAGUGAAAUGAGGCUCAAAUCAACAAUAAGAUAUUCAACUCAGUGAAAUAAUGCUCAACUCAACAAUAAGAUACUCGACUCUGGUUCUCAACGCUAGGUACUCAAAUCUGGAUACUCAACUCUGUAUACUCAACUCUGGAUAAAGCAACAAUACAAAUGCAAUAUAUGGAAAGCUUUUAAAACAGUAGAAAGCAACUCAAUGUAUUGAAAAAUACAAUAGUAACUCAGUUUGUAUGCAAGGAUACAAGAUAAACUCUUCUUGUAUAUGAAAAUACAAGGUAAACUCUGUGUAUAUAAAAUACAAAAUAUCUAUGUGGAAGUUUCUCUAACCGAAAACCAUCACUAUGAGCUAUGUGAUGAUACAACAUCUUGCCCAUGCUAUCAAAGUUGUCCUAUACUUUGCCAGGGUAUAAGACCUCUCAACUAAGUGGAUCCACUAGUCCAUGCUAAAAAUCAUUAAGGAAUCAUCUAAAAAGUAUGACCCUUUCUACCCACGUUUGCUACAUGGUUUAUGGAGACUUGAGUUAUAUGAACUCGUCCCCAUAUCGGUCAUCAAUACUACUCCCAAAAAUAUACUCAACUCAUAUGUUUAAAAACAUAACUCUUUCUGUGGUUUGAGAUUAUUACUCAGAAUAUUUCUCUAAAAAGAGAUGUUGCUCAAAAUUCCUUUGAAAAUAUCAGUUUCCUCCUCUUUUAAAUGUGUAAACAUUUACUCUUGGGAAUACUUAGUUCCCAUAUAUCAUUUUAAAGAAACUGAACUCAACUCUGCUCUUUCUCAAAAACAUUUCAAAAUCAUAUUAUAAUAUGAUCAGUGAUGACUCGCGAAGUCAUACUGCAUAAAUAUUGAUGGUAUAACUAGAUACUAUGAUGCUCAUACAUUGAUGGCAUACUCAAUUAUCAUACUAAUCAUGUUUUAGAAAAAAAAUUCUCAAAACUCAUCUUUACUUUCUCAAAACAUAGUUUAAGAACUCAAGGGUUGGCUUUAAAAAUCUUUUUAAAAUUUAUAACUCAAAUAAUAGGGUUCAUAUGGAAGUAUGAACAUGAACGACUCAACUCAGGAAUCUUAAUAGCAAUAAAGAACCUCAGUACUCAAGACUCAAUGAUACUACUCAUCUCUAGACUGCUCGACCCAUAGAGUUCAUGUGGAAUUAUGGGCAUGAACAACUCAACUCAAGUGCUUCAUGGGUAAUAUGUAGUAGUCCCAUUAUUGGAAAUAUAAUCUCAAAGGGAUUAAGAACUCAAUACUCAACACUUAGAGCUUGAAGAUACUACUCCUCUCAAAGGUGCUCAAUUUAUGAAGUUCAUGCGGAGUUUAUGGGAAUGAACGACUCGACUCGAGGGUCUAAAUAACAAUAUGGAACUCAGGUAUACAACUCUUCUCAUUCUCAUACUACUCCUUCAAAAUGUAGUUCAAAUCGAUAUUUGAUCUCAAAAGAUUCACAAUUGGACUAAAAGAGUUUCUUGAACUCUACUCUUAACUCUCUCUUGAACUUAAAUUAUGAAUUCAAGAGUUAUGAUUCAUGAUAUGAAGGAUCUCAGGAUGAUAAUGUAGACUCAUGAAUACACUCUCCUCAUUCUCAUACUCACUUGCUCGAGUCUUGAAACAAGUUAUUAGAAACUGUAGAGGACUCCUCAAAAAGACUCAAAGGAACUUUCUCAAAAAUGUUCGAAAGAACUCUUAAGACUUAACUCUUAGCUCUUCCCUCGAAUUUGAAUUAUGAAUUCAAGGUUAUAAUUUUUUAUAGGAAAGAUAUUGUGAUGAUUAAAAGUGUUUUAGAUAGUUAAUCAUGAGAAACGGUUGAAAAACAUUGUCUGGGGAACAAGUCUGUGACGCGAAGAUGAAUUAUAAUGUUUGGUUGAAAUAAUUUUUGAAACAGUGGGGUCCGUAUUCUCUCUGUGAUGCAAAGAGAAAAGAUUUUACUUCUGAGGAACAGGUCUGUGACACAGACCUGGUACCUGUUCUCUGACUGACUUUUUCUUCCUCGUUUUCUAACACCAAUUCGCCUAGGUUCUAUUUUUUUUCUCAAUUUCUCUUUAGAUUCAGAUACCCCACACAUGUACAAAAGAAUCUACUCAUAAACAACUCUAAAAUCGACACGAUUUCCUCAAGAACUCAACAAUUACAUUCUAAUUCAAGAAUGAAAGCCAAUUCCAAGAACGCAAUUCAAGAUCAUCAAACUUUCAACUUUCUAGAAUGAAUUUCGCUGAAAUAAACAUGAUUGGAGUGUGGGUGAACAAACCCAACACUAUGGAAGCUUACAUACUUCUUAGGGAUCAAACCCAUGGCGAAAAUCUGCAACAAAGCUCAAGAACCUCGACGAACGCCUUGAUCCUUUCCUCUUUUCUCUUCUUGAACUCUCAACUAAAACCCUAGGCAUAUAUUAGGAUUAUAAAACUGAACCUAAUCGGAUUAAGCCCCUAAAACCUUACUAAAAACGAAUUAAAUCUGAUUGGGUAAGGAAAAUACCAAAAUACCCCUCACUAUUUUUGGGUAACUUUCCUUAUUUGGACAGACCAACUUCAAACGGGUAUAUCUCCCUCAUACGAGCUCAAAAUUUAGAAAACUCAGUGGCGUUGGAAAGAGGUUUCCAAGAAAUUUCAUUUCAUAUCUUGUAGCCCACCUAAAUCAUCUUGUACUAAAGGUUAUGGUCGUUUGAAGUUGACCCAAAACUCAAAGGAACUUAGGAAUGACUUGCAUGAACUCUCUUUAGUUCUUCUUGGAAAUCAAGGUGCUACAUCUAGUAACCUUAACACUUAGGAAAAAUUUUCAUUCCUUGGUAAAAUCUCACUCACUACGAAGAAUGGUUCGAGUCUUAAUUCAAAAUAAAUUGGUGUGUUACAGCUUGCUAGUUGUUGUUAAAUGAGUAGAGAUUCAAUCGACUAGGUGACAAUUAGUACAAGUCAAAAGUUGUAAAUUGAGUUGGUUGUGAUAAAAUCUCCCCGCAUGGAUAUAGUAUGACAAAAUUAGUAAAAAAUUAAUAUUCUACAAUCACUAACUCUCUUCAUUUUUUUUCUCUACCAAAAGUUCCCUUACUUUCCACAACAAAAUAUGAUAAUUCUAAAAUUUAAAGUAAAAGCUUCACAUAGAAAGUAAAAAAGAUGGAAAAGAAAUGAAGAUUCUGAUAGAUCUGAUACUUGAUUGCAAUCUUUUUUGCAUCAGACCAUCAAUUCCUCUUCAGAAAUCACAUUGGUUGCAUCUCUUACUCAAAAUUUCUGGUGUUGGACAUGAUCAGCUGAACCAGAAAUUUCUGAGAUAACAUAGUAGAAAAUAAAAUAGGUUGUCUGCCCAAGCAACCACGACCACCACCACGACUCGUGGUGAAGACCACGGCCCUUGGUGUGGCUCGUGGUAGGCUAGGCACUAGCCUCCCCAAAUUGCCCAAAAUAGCCCCCUCUUCACGAGCCACUUCAUGGGUCGUGUUGAAGACCACGGCUCGUGGGAAGGCUCGUGGAAGAGAGUUGAGUGUGUAAGGGUUGAGAAGAGAGUGGCUUAGCCACUGCCUCAAGGUCCACGAGAGGGACCAUGGCUCGUGGUAGGCACCACGUAUCGUGGAGCCCUUCGUGAAGGUGCCUUAGAGUUGUGGGGAUAAGGUCACACUUGCCUAGACAGUGCCUCAAGGUCCACGAAGGGGACCACGGCUCGUGGUCAUGACCACGGCUCAUGAGACCUCACGUGGUCCCUGGGCAGGUCACUUAAAGUUGAGGAUUAAUUUGUUUUUUCCAAUUUUAAUCCAAUUAAAGUGAGGUCAUUUUGCCUAAGUCUAGGACCACUAUAUAAGUUUUUUUUAACUCUAAAACUCACCCAUUCAAGUCAUAUUUUCCCAAAACCCAAAUUAAAUUCCCAAAAUCUCUCCUCUUAAAUACUUCUCUCUAGAAGAAGAAGAAAAAAAAAAAAGGAGAUGGAGAAAGAGAAGGAGAAGGAGAAGGAGAAGGAGAAAGAGAAGGAGAAGGAGAAGGAGAAGCAGAAGCAGAAGGAGGAGGAGGAGGAGGAGGAGGAAGUUCAACUAGGAUCAAGGUCAAGGUUCAAAUCCUCCAUUUAAGCUUAGCAUUCGGCUUUGUUGUUAAGGUAUGGUAUCUUUCAUCCAUGGAGUUCCUUCAAAAUUCAAUAUCAAAAGAAAGAUAAAAAUCCCCAAUUGUUAGGGUUUGAUUCAAAAGUCAUAGGUUCCUUUCAAACUUGAUUCUAAUGGUUGCAUUAUGUUAUUAUGAUCAUGAAUUGAUUAUUUACCAUAGUUUUUAUGAUGUAUCCCCAAGAACCCAUGUAAUUCCCUUAUUUCUCAAUUUUGAUCUUAUGAUGUGGGUCUUUGUUGAUGAGAGGUGAAUUUGAUGAAUUGAUGCAUGAGGUGAUUGAAUCACAUGAAUUAUAAUGAAAUCCAUGUCUAAUACUUGAAUUCUAGAUGUGAUGAUUGAAAGUAGGUUAUGAACCUUGAAAGAGAAAAGUAUGAGAUUAUGCAUGUUUUUAUGAAAUUUAUGUAAAUGCUUUGAGAACACUUUGAGAGUGAAGUGUCAAUGAUUAUGCUAAUGUUGUUGUGUUGAUUGAAAGUACAUUCUCAUGAACACAUCAUGUUCGUGAACAUGAUGUGAAAGGUUUUCUCACAUAAUGAAGAUUCUAGGGUUGAAAGGCUUUCUCACCUAAUUGAAUCUAAGAUGUACAUGUAGACAUGGAUUGUGAAAGGCUUUCUCAAGCAUUAUCUAAUGACCUAUCCUAAUGAACUAACUUGGAUUGGUUGUCAAGGACAUCCUUUCAUUAUACAUGAGUUAAGUAAGACUUAAUAAGUAUUAUGUGGGAUUUAUGCUUGGCACCGAGUGGAUAUUGAAAUGAGAUGGAAGUCUUUUACAUUAGUUGAGUCCGGGCUUCCCAUGUAUGUCUCAUGAGAUGGAAACCUUCUACGUUAGUUGAGUUCGGGUUUCUAGAAACAAUCUCCUUGUCCCAUAAACUAUGUUCCCCCAUAAGUCAUUUAGCUAGUGGAUCCACCUAAGCUAACAAACCAGGGUUCUACCUUAGGCAAGUAGGACAACCCUUUUUGGUGUGGAUAACACCGGGUGAUCAUGUUAUAGCUCACAUGGUCUCAUGUUGGUUAAGGCUAUCUCCCACAACAAGAACAUGAAUAAUGAACCAAGGUUACUACAUGAAGUAUGGUAUAUGAGUUCAGAGGUUUUAAAUAUUAUGCUAGCUUACAUUGAAUAUGAUGAUUAUGACUUAUGUUUUCCAACUAUCUCUAUGAUGAUGUUUAAACUUGGUAAAUUGCAUGAUUUGAAAUGAAAUGUCCUUUUUAACAUGUUUUAAAUGUUUUUAUGCAUAAUUAUCAUACUAAGUGCACUUUUGUACUAACGCAUAGUUUUGCCUACAUUGUUCUCAAAUUUAGGGUUGGGCAGUCAGGGACAGUUUCAUGGCUAAGUGCUGAUCUUGAGAUUCCAAGCUUUGGUGAUCCCCCAUGCUUCGAGGACCGAUUUAUUGUUUUAGUUUCCAUUUCUUGUAUAUCCUUUUUGGGCAUGAUGUAUAAUCUAGGCUCAAUUUCAUUUGGUAUUAUAAUAGAUGGCUAUAAUGAGACAAGUGUCUAGACUUCCACUUUCUUUUAUAAAAAAAAUUAGACUUGAAAUUAUGUUUUACCCCUAUUGUUCUAUUUCUUAUGUUAUGAGGACUAAGUGGCUUGUAUGGAGUCAUUUGGGGUUUCAUACGCCUUGUUACAUCUAGGGGUACCCCUGGGUCGUGACAAACUUGGUAUCGGAGCACAAGUUUUAGAAUGGUUCUAGGAUGAUGUCUCAGAAGCCACGUCUAGUAGAGUCUUGUUUCAUAAGUGUGAAGCGCGCCACAUUUAUGAAUGAGAGGCUACAAGAUGAUUAGUAAACUUCACUUCUUCAUUACUCUAAGUUGUGUCGUAGACUUUAACUCUAUAAGAUCUCUCUCCUAAUCCUUGCCCUAUGUUCUUUAGGAUAUGAAUACUACAAGGGCUGCUAGAAGGAUGGAGGGUGAUAAUGUGGAACAAGUAGCUCCUCCCCAAGCUCUGAUGGAUCUUUUGGCUGAGAAUGUUACAAAUACAGAGUUUAGGUAGGCUUUUCAAAUAUUGGCCCUAGCCAUGACGGCACAAGCUAAUAGAGAGGUGGUAACUCCCGUGAACCCAAUAGUAGGUACGACCACUUCAAGAGUGAGGGAUUUUAUGAGGACGAACCCUCUGGAAUUUUAUGGCUCCAAAAUUGAGGAAGACCCACAAAAGUUUGUUGAAGAGUUCUAUAAGGUACUUGAUAUCAUGGGGGUGACUCUGGUAGAGAAAGUGGAGUUGGCCGCUUACUAAUUGAAAGGGGUUGCUCAAAUGGGGUACGACCAAUGGAAAAAGGUUAGGCCGGUAGGAGCGAGCCCCGUAGAGAGGGAAGUGUUUAAAUCGGCAUUUCUUGACAGGUUCUUUCCCCUAGAGAUGAGGGAAGCAAAGGUGCAAGAGUUCAUUAACCUUUGUCAAGGAAGUAUGAGUGUGAAGGAGUAUACUCUAAAUUUCACUUAAUUGUUUAAGUAUGCUCCAACAAUGGUUGUGGAUUCUAGGGCUAAGAUGAAUACGUUUGUGACGGGUAUAUCUGAUACGGUGGUUAAAGAGUGUCGUACCGUCAUGCUCAUUGGUGACAUGAACAUCUCCCGUCUAAUGGUCUAUGCACAACAAAUUGAGGAGAAAAACUCAAGGAAAAGUCUAGGGAGGUAAAAAGGGCUAGGACCGGCGAUGGAAAUUUCUCUAAUGCAAAGUUCGAUGGACAAGGUCGACCUCAAUUUCGACAAAGGUUUCCCGGUCAAGAUUUCUCUAAGUAUCCUCCUAAGUUUAAUAAGGAUAGGGUGUCUAACCCUAAACCUCAAGGAGGAAAUGGAUGUGGUUCUUUUUUGGCUAGAUCUACUUGUGUGAAGUGUGGAAUGAAACAUGAUGGUAAGUGCCUAGCCGACACAGAUGCUUGCUAUGGUUGUGGAAAGAAUGGUCACAAGAUGAGAGAUUUCCCGAUGCUCAAGGUUAAGCGAAGAGAGGGCAAGAAAGCUCCUCCUAGUGGUUUAAAUUCAGAUGCUCCCAAGCAAGACCACUUCUAUGCUCUCCAAUCCCGAGGUGACCAAGAGAUCUCUCCGGAUGUAGUCAUCGGUAUGUUAAAAGUUUUUAUUCAUGAUGUGUAUACCUUGUUAGAUCCCGGUGCUACUUUAUCUUUUGUGACGCCCUAUGUGGCAUUGAGGUUUGAUGUUCCUCCAGAAGUGUUGUUAGAACCUUUUUCUGUCUUUACUCUUGUUGGUGAUUCUAUGGUGGCUAAGAGGGUUUAUAGAAGAUGUCUCGUUUCCUUAUCCCAUAAAGUUACUCUUGUUGACUUGGUAAAUCUUGACAUGUUAGACGAUGUGAUUCUUGGUCUGGAUUGGUUGCAUGCAUGUUAUGCCUCCAUUGAUUGUAGAACUCGAGUGGUUAGAUUCCAAUUCUCGAAUUAGCCUAUCCUAGAGUGGAAGGGGGAAAAUUUCAUGCCUAGAGGUCAAUUUGUGUCUUAUCUUAAAGCUAGAAGGAUCAUCUCAAAGGUUGCUUUUACCAUCUUUUUAGGGUGAGGGAUGUAGAUUCUGACACCCCUACUCUUGAGUCGGUUCCCGUGGUUAUAGAAUUCUCAGAAGUUUCCCUGAUGAUUUACCAAGUAUUCCUCCCGAGCGGGAAAUAGAUUUUGGUAUUGACUUUCUCCCAAAUACACAACCUAUCUCUAUUCCUUCUUAUAGAAUGGCUCCGGAUGAGUUAAAGGAGUUGAAAGAUCAACUAAGGAUUUGUUGGAUAAGGGUUUCAUCUGACCGAGUAUAUCUACAUGGGGUGCUCCUGUGUUGUUUGUUAGAAAGAAAGAUAGGUCUCUUGGAAUGUGCAUCGAUUAUCGUCAAUUGAAUAAAGUGACCAUUAAGAACAAGUAUCCUCUUCCAAGAAUUGAUGACUUGUUUGACCAACUUCAAGGGGCUAGUUAUUUCUCUAAUUGAUCUUCGUUUGGGUUAUCACCAAUUGAGGGUGAGAGGGGAUGAUAUUCCAAAGACGGUUUUUCGAACCCAGCAUGGUCAUUAUGAGUUUUUGGUUAUGUCGUUUGGGUUGACUAAUGCUCCGGCAGCUUUUAUGGAUUUGAUUAAUAGGGUGUUUAGACAAUACCUUGAUAUGUUCGUAAUUGUGUUAUUGAUGAUAUUUUGAUCUAUUCAAGGAGUGAGAAUGAGCAUAUGGACCAUUUGAGAAUUGUGUUGCAAGUUCUUAAGGACCAAUAACUUUUUGCAAAGUUUAGCAAGUGUGAAUUUUGGUUAAGGUCUNNNNNNNNNNNNNNNNNNNNNNNNNNNNNNNNNNNNNNNNNNNNNNNNNNNNNNNNNNNNNNNNNNNNNNNNNNNNNNNNNNNNNNNNNNNNNNNNNNNNNNNNNNNNNNNNNNNNNNNNNNNNNNNNNNNNNNNNNNNNNNNNNNNNNNNNNNNNNNNNNNNNNNNNNNNNNNNNNNNNNNNNNNNNNNNNNNNNNNNNNNNNNNNNNNNNNNNNNNNNNNNNNNNNNNNNNNNNNNNNNNNNNNNNNNNNNNNNNNNNNNNNNNGUUGAAAGAUAGACUUACUUCCGCUCCAGUGUUGACCUUACCGAAAGGUACGGAUGGUUUUUUGGUGUAUUCUGAUGCCUCUGGAGUUGGGUUGGGAAGUUUGCUUAGGCAAAAUAGUAAAGUUAUUGCCUAUGCUUCAAGGCAACUUAAGGUCCAUGAGAAUAAUUAUCCUACCCAUGAUCUCGAGUUAGCAGUGGUUGUUUUUGCCUUAAAGAUAUGGAGGCAUUAUUUGUAUGAGGUCCAUGUAGAUGUGUUUACCGAUCACAAGAGCUUACAAUAUGUGUUUAGGCAAAAGGACUUGAAUCUCCGCCAAAGAAGGUGGUUAGAACUAUUGAAGGAUUAUGACAUGAGUGUUCUUUAUCACCCCGGUAAAGCUAAUGUCAUUUGGCCUGCAUCAUUUUAUGAUGCAGAUACAUGUAACCAGGAUCAGCAUCCNNNNNNNNNNNNNNNNNNNNNNNNNNNNNNNNNNNNNNNNNNNNNNNNNNNNCGGUCAAGAGUUGGCCUAGACCUCUAACUCCUUCCGACAUUAGACGUUUUCUGGGUUUGGCCGAUUACUAUAGAAGGUUUGUUGAGGGAUUUUCUUCCAUUUCUUCUCUUUUGACAGCUUUGACUCUAAAGAAGGCUAAGUUUGUGUGGUCGGAAGCUUGUGAGAAACUUUCCAAGAGUUGAAAGAUAGACUUACUUCCGCUCCAGUGUUGACCUUACCGAAAGGUACGGAUGGUUUUUUGGUGUAUUCUGAUGCCUCUGGAGUUGGGUUGGGAAGUUUGCUUAGGCAAAAUAGUAAAGUUAUUGCCUAUGCUUCAAGGCAACUUAAGGUCCAUGAGAAUAAUUAUCCUACCCAUGAUCUCGAGUUAGCAGUGGUUGUUUUUGCCUUAAAGAUAUGGAGGCAUUAUUUGUAUGAGGUCCAUGUAGAUGUGUUUACCGAUCACAAGAGCUUACAAUAUGUGUUUAGGCAAAAGGACUUGAAUCUCCGCCAAAGAAGGUGGUUAGAACUAUUGAAGGAUUAUGACAUGAGUGUUCUUUAUCACCCCGGUAAAGCUAAUGUCAUUUGGCCUGCAUCAUUUUAUGAUGCAGAUACAUGUAACCAGGAUCAGCAUCCAGCGCUUCAUUGAUCCAGUUGAGCACUCAGAGUCAUUUGGUGAGCCUUCUUGCUUUUCGGAGGGUCCCUUUUUAUUGCAUUGUUUGUUUCAGUUGUUAGGAUGAUCGGGGGUCUUGUCAUGACAUUCCUCUUGAGUAUUAGAGGCUUCAUAGACAGUUAGACAUUAGUAGUUCAUUAGUCUUAUUCAUAUCAGUUGUUUUGAUCAUAAGACUUGAGUUGCCUUUUUGUCCAGUUGAAUGUUUUUCCUUUAUACAUUCUAAGUUUGAUUAUGAAUUUAUCACUUGAGUUCUCUUAAAUGUUGAGUAAAGUUUUCCGCUAAGUAGUAAGCCAGGCCAAGGGUUCACUUGGGGCCAGCAAUGGUUCUCGAGUGUCAAUCCUGCCUAGGGUAUAGCCUUGGGGCGUGACAAACUUGGUAUCAGCGCACAGAGUUCAAGAGUACUAGGAAGUCUAUGAAGUUGGGUUUGUAGAGUCCUAGUUAUCGGUGUGAAGCACGCCACAUCUAUAAUUAGGGGGCUGCAACAUUUAGGAAUUAUCUCACUUCUUGCAUACUCAUUUCGUGCGAUAGAGUUUAUCUCUAAAAAGUUUUUGUCUAACUCAUGCUUGCGCGUAUCUUUCAGAUCAUGCCUCCACAAAAAGUUGUCUGACGUUCCGCCGGGAGGAACACUGAGGAACAAGGGGUACCUAAUGCAACAGGAGUGCAACCACAAGGAGAGGUCAUUAAUGCUGAAUUUCGAGAAGCUAUUCGAAUGUUGAGUCUAGCGGUGACCAACCAGGUUGGGCAACAAAGAGGAGUUCGAUAGGAUGUGGCUGAUACGUCUAGAAUCUGUGAGUUCCUUAGGAUGAAUCCUUCAAGCUUCACUGGUUCAAGCAUCCUUGUUGAUGAUAAGAAGGUGGAACAAGCUGCAUACCAAUUGAAAGGUGUCGCUGGAAUCUGUUUUGAUCAAUGGAAAAAGAAUAGAGCUGAGGGUGCACCACUUGUGAGUUGGGCUAUGUUUGAGGAGGUCUUCUUGGAUUGCUUAUUUCCCCACAAACUGAGAGAAGCAAAGGUACGAGAAUUCCUUACUCUUAAGCAGAAAUCUAUGAGCGUGCACAAGUACAGCCUUAAGUUCACCCAACUUUCCCGUUAUGCUCCGGAUAUGGUUAUUGAUAUGAGUAGUAGGAUGAGUCGGUUUGGUGUUGGGUUGUCUCGUCUGUCAAUUAAGAAAGGUAAGGCAGCUAUGCUAAUAGGUGAUAUGGACAUAGCAAGGUUGAUGAUCCAUGUGCAGCAGGUCGAAGAGGAUAAGCUGAGGGAUAGAGAGGAGUUUAGAAACAAGAAGGCAAAGACAUUAGGGAAUGAGUCUGGACAGCAGAAAAAUAAUACCAACGGUCAUCUUCCAACAUAAGAAAAAACAACUCGCUCCAUCAUCUGCUACCCGCUCUAUCAUCUGCUAGUGCACCUGCACCAAGGAACAAAGGUGAGUACAAUAGUAAAAUACACAGAAUUUCAGAUCUAGACAUACACAGUCUCAAGGUAGUAUGGCACAAGGAGGUAACUGAGAUCCUACAUGUGCUAAGUGUGGUAGAAAUCACCCCGGAAUGUGUCGUGAUGGCUCCACUGGGUGCUUCAAGUAUGGUCAAGAGGGCCACUUCAUGAAAGAGUGUCCCAAGAACAGGCAGGGCAGUGGAAAUAGGGGCAAUAGAGCCCAAUCUUCUUCAGUUGCUCCACCAGACAGGGUUGCACCUAGAAGAGCUACUUCAGGGAAUGUCGGAGGAGCAAACUGCCUAUAUGCUAUCACAAGUCGCCAAGAGCAAGAGAAUUUACCAGAUGUUGUCACUGGUAUGAUCAAAGUCUUUAAUUUUGAUUUUUAUGCUUUGCUAGAUCUAGAAGCGAGUCUAUCUUUAGUUACUCCUCAUGUUGCGAUGAAUUUUGAUGUCCUUCUUGAGCAACUUCUUGAGCUUUUCAGUGUUUCUACACAUGUUGGUGAGUCUAUUCUAGCUGACAGAGUCUAUCGUGAUUGUACCAUUUCCAUCAAUCACAAGAGCACCAUGGCUGACUUAGUUGAGUUAGAUAUGGUAGAUUUUGAUGUCAUUCUAGGUAUGGACUGGCUUCAUGCUUGUUAUGCCUCUGUCAAUUGUAAAACUCGAGUUGUUAAUUUCACUUUCCUAAUGAGCCAUUUAUAGAGUGGAAGAGUAGUACAGCAGUGCCUAAGGGUCAUUUUAUUUUGAACCUUAAGGCGAGAAAGUUAGUUUCCAAGGGUUGUGUCUAUCACUUAGUCCAAGUUAAUGACUUUGGUGUUGAGACACCUCAUAUUGAGUCAGUUCCAGUUGUGAGUGAGUAUCUAGAGGUCUUUCCAGAUGAUAUACCCGGAGUCCCUCUUGAGAGAAAAUAGACUCUGGUAUAGAUGUUCUUCCCGAUACUCAUUCUAUAUCUAUUCCGCCAUAUAGGAUGGCACCAGUAGAGUUGAAAGAUCUCCUUGAGAAAGGUUUAAUUCGACCAAGUGUCUCACCUUAGGGCUCUCUGGUCUUAUUUGAGAGAAAUAAAGAAGGUUCUCUUAGAAUGUGUAUACAUUACCGUCAGUUGAACAAGGUUAUUACUAAGAAUAAGUAUUCUUCCGAGAAUUGAUGAUCUCUUCAAUCAACUUUAGGGUGCCACUUGUUUUUUUCGAAAAUAGACCUCAGAUCUGGCGAUCAUCAGUUGAGAGUAACAUAAAGUGAUAUCCCUAAGCCAGCUUUCGGGGCCCGUUAUGGUCAUUAUGAGUUCCUAGUUAUGUCCUUCGAUUUGACCAAUGCUCUUGCAGUAUUCAUGGACCUUAUGAAUAGAGUAUUCAAGCCUUAUUUAGAUAUAUUUGUUAUCGUAUUCAUUGAUGACAUUCUAAUCUAUUCGAGAAAUGAUGAAGAUCAUGCUAGCCAUCUCAGAAUAGUUCUCCAGACUCUAAAGGAUAAGGAGUUAUAUGCUAAAUUUUCUAAGUGUGAAUUUUGUCUUGAGUCUAUGGCAUUCUUAGGUCACAUUGUUUCCGGUUAUGCGAUUUGAGUUGACACUCAAAAGAUAGAGGCAGUACAGAAUUGUCCUAGACCCAUGUCUCCAACUGAUGAUAUUAGGAGUUCUUGGGGUUGGCUGGAUAUUAUAGAAAGUUCAUCGAGGGGUUCUCAUCUAUAUCAUCUCCUUUGACCAAGUUGACUCAAAAAAUGGUUAAGUUUCAAUGGUCUAAUGCUUGUGAGAAAAGCUUUUAGAAAAUGAAAAAGUGGUUGACUACUGCCCCAGUAUUGACCUUACCAGAGGGUCCGCAAAGUUUUGUGGUUAAUUGUGAUACGUCCAGAGUCAGUUUGGGUUGUGUGUUAACGCAGAAUGGCAAGGUUAUAGCUUAUGCCUUCAGACAGCUUAAGGUUCACAAGAAAAAUUACCCAACCCAUGAUCUAGAGUUGGUUGCUAUAGUAUUUACUUUAAAAUAUGGUGUCACUAUCUUUAUAGAGUUCAUGUAGAUGUGUUCACCGAUCACAAAAGCCUUUAGUAUGUGUUCAGUCAGAAAGAGUUUAAUCUCAGACAUGAGUAUUCUAUAUCACCCAGGUAAGGCUAAUGUGGUUGUUGAUGCUCUGAGAAGGUUGUCUAUUGGUAGUACCGCCCAUGUUGAUGAAGACAAGAAAGAGUUAGUAAAAGAUGUGCAUAGACUUAAGCGAUUAGGAGUUUGUUUAAUGGAUUCCAAUGAAGGAGGAGCGGUGGUGAUGAAUGGGGUUGAAUCUUCACUAGUGUCUGAGGUGAAAGAGAAGCAAGACCAAGAUCCUAUUUUGCUUGAAUUAAAGGCAAAUGUUCAUAAGCAAAAAGUGAUGCCUUUUGAACAAGGGGGAUAUGGUGUAUUGAGGUAUCAAGAAAGAUUGUGUGUGUCAAGAGUGGAUGAACUCCAAGAGAGGAUCAUGGAGGAAGGUCAUAGCUCCAGAUACUCUAUCCAUCCGGGUUCCACAAAGAUGUAUCAUGAUUUGAGAGAGUUUUAUUGGUGGAGUAGUAUGAAGAAAGGUAUUGCAGAGUUUGUUGCUAAGUGUCUGAAUUGCCAACAAGUUAAAGUAGAACACCAGAGGCCUAGUGGUAUGGCUCAGAAUAUAGAUCUUCUAGAAUGUAAGUGGGAGAGGAUCAAUGUGGACUUUAUUACAGGUUUACUGCGGUCCCGCAGGCAGCAUGAUUCUACUUGGGUGAUUGUAGAUCGAAUGACUAAAUCAGCCCACUUUUUACUGGUAAAGACUACCCAUUCAUCAGAAGAUUAUGCUAAGUUAUAUAUUCAAGAGGUAGUUAGACUUCAUGGAGUCUAGUGUCGAUUAUAUCAGAUAGAGGUGCACAAUUUACUGCACAAUUUUGGAAGUCCUUUCAGAAUAGUUUGAUUCAAAGGUGAAUUUGAGUAGCGCUUUUCAUCCUUAGACUGAUGGUCAAGAAGAGUGCACUAUUCAAACUUUAGAAGAUAUGUUGAGGGCUUGUGUGAUUGAUUUCAAAGGAAAUUGGGAUGAAGACCUACCUCUCAUUGAGUUUGCUUACAACAAUAGUUAUCAUUCUAGCAUCCAAAUGGCUCCAUAUGAGGCUCUUUAUAGGAGAAGAUGCAGAUCUCCUAUUGGAUGGUUUGAGGUUGGUGAAGUUGGAUUGAUAGGACCAGACUUAAUUCAUCAAGCUAUGGAGAAAGUUAUGAUUAUUCAAGAGAGAUUGAAAACAGCGUAGAGUCGUCAAAAAUCCUACACUGAUGUUUCGAGAAGGGACUUAGAGUUAGAAGUAGAUGAUUAGGUAUACUUGAAGGUUUCACCCAUGAAGGGUUUUAUGAGAUUUGGUAAGAAGUGAAAGCUCAUCCCCUGGUAUAUUAGUCCCUACAGAAUAUCCAAAAGGUUUGGUAAUGUAGCUUAGGAGUUGGAGCUACCGCAAGAGUUAGCAGCAGUUCAUCUAGUGUUCCACAUUUCCAUGUUGAAGAAGUGUAUGGGAGAUCCUUCACUUAUCAUACCUACUAAUGAUAUUGGUAUUAAGGAUAGCUUAUCUUAUGAGGAGAUUCCUAUUCAGAUUCGAGAUCGCCAAAUUCCUAAGUUGAGGACCAAAGAGGUAGCAUCAGUCAAGGUCUUAUGGAGGAAUGAGUUUGUUGAGGAAGCUACAUGGGAGGCUGAGGAAAAUAUGAAGAAGAGAUACCCACAUCUCUUUGUGCCAGGAGAAAUUCCAGAUCAAGGUAUUAAUUCUCUUCUUAGUACUCUUUAAAUUGAUAUAUUGAAUGUGUUAGAUUUGCUUGUUGGGUGGUUGAGCUGAAUGUUAGAUGUUACACCCUUAGCCUACUAAGAGUAAUCUCAUUUGAGGAAGAAUGUUCCAAAGGGGGAUAUAUUUUAACACCCCACUAUUUGAAAGAUCUAGAAUUAGAAAGAACCAUUUUUGAAAAGAAUAAAAAUCUAAAAUUUGGCAAGUAUGUUAAGUAUGAGUUUUUGGUCAACUUUAAACAACCAUAACUCCUGGUACACGAUGAUUUAGGUAGGCUACAAGAUAUCAAAUGAAAGGUUUUUGAAUUAUCUUUUCAACGCCACCGAGUUUGCUAAUUUUCAAGUUUGUAUGAGAGAUAUAUGUCCGUUUGAAGUCGGGUUGUUCGUAUAAGGAAAGUCAAUCGGAUUUUAGAGGGGUAUUUUGAUCUUUUCAUUACCAAUUAAUUUAUUUCGUUUUUAGGAAUUUAUUUAGGGUCAAAAUUGAGUUAGUUCAGUUUAUGCAAUUAAGAAUUACACUAGGGCAUUGAGAGAGGAGAAAAGAGGAGAAAGGUCAAGGCGUUCUUGAAGAUUUCUUGCGGAAUCGAAGUCGCUUCGCCAAGGAUUGAUCCCUAAAGAGGUAUGUGAGACUUUUAUAGCUUGGUUUCAUUCACCCAUGCGCCAAUCAUAUUUAUUUCAGCGAAAUUCGUUCUAGAAAGUUGAAAGUUGAUGAUUUUGAAUUGUGUUCUUGAAUAUUGGCUUUCGUUCUUGAGUUAAGUUGGGAUUGUUGAGUUCUUGAGAAAAUCAUGUCAAUUUUAGAGUCGUUUAUGAAUAGAUUCUUGUGUACAUAUACUGGGUAUCUAAAUCUAAAGAGAAAUUGAGAAAAAAGAAUCGAAUAUAGGCAUAUUGGGGUUAGAAAAUGAAGAAAGAAAAAGUCGGGCGAAUCUGGCAACCCAGUCCGCGUCGCGGACUUGCCUCACCUAUGCAAAGAAUUUUUCUUUACGUCGCAAACUUGCUUCCAGAUAGUGAUUUCUUGAUCGUUUCUCAUGUUUAACUAUCUAAAAACACUCCUAAAUAUCACGAGAUCUUUCCUAUCACAAAUCACAAAUCACAACCUUGAAUUCAUAAAUCAAAUUCAAGGUAGAGUUGAGAGUCAAGCCUUGAGGGUUCUUCGAGUCAUUUUAAGAAGUCUUUACAAAUAUUUUAAACUUGUUUUAAGACUUAAGCAUUGAGAUUGAGAAAGAGUAGAGCCGAGUUCAUUUCCUUAAAAUGUUAUAUGGAGACUAUGUAUUCCCAAAGAGUAGAUGUUUUCACAUUAAAGAUGAGAGGAAACACCAAUUUCCAAAUGAGUUUUCAUGAGUAGUUUUAAGUUCCAACUCUUUUAAGCGAUAAGUUUUGAGUAAUAAUCUCAGACUACAGAGAAAGAGUUAUGUUUUUAAACAUAUGAGCUGAGUAAAUUUGUGGAGUAGUAUUGAGCACCGAUAUGGGGACGAAUUCAUAAUAACUCAAGUCUCCAUAAAUCAUGUAGCCAACGUGGGUAGAAAGGUUCAUACUUUUUAGAUGAUUGCUUAAUGCUUUUUAGCAUAGACUAGCAGAUCUACUUAAUUGAGGCGUUCUAUAUUCCGGCAAGGUAUAGGACAGUUCUGGCAGCGUGGGCUAGACGUUGUAUCAUCACAUAGCUCAUAGUGAUGGUUGUCAAUUAGAGAAACUCGCACAUAAUUAUAUUACUUUAUUAUAUAUAUAAAUUGAGUUGUUAUUGUAUUUCUCCAAUAAAUUGAGUUGUUACUUACUGUUUAAAUGCUUUAUAUAAACCGUAUCUUUAUUGUUAUUUAUUUCUGCAUUAAGUUGAGUAUCCAUGAGUUGAGUAAAGCUGAGGUAAGUAUUUCUUUCAGAAUUCUGUUCAAGCUUAUGUCAUGUUUAGUUUUCCCCUCGCAUGCUCGUACAUUCAAUGUAUUGAUGUCAUUUGGCCUGCAUCGUUUUAUGAUGCAAAUACAGGUAACUAGGAUCAGUAUCCAGUGCUUCGUUGAUCCAGUUGAGCACUCAAAGUCAUUUGGUGAGCCUCUGUGCUUUUCGAAGGGUCCCCUUUUAUUGCUUUGUUUAUUUCAGUUGUUAGGAUGAUCGGGGGUCUUGUCCCGACAUCCCUCUUGAGUAUUAUAGGGUUCAUAGACAGUUAGACAUUAGUAGUUCAUUAGUAUUAUUCAUUUCAAAUGUUUGAUCAUAAGACUUGAGUUGCCUUUAUGGCCAGUUGAAUGUUUUACCUUUAUACAUUCUAAGUUUGAUUAUGAAUUUAUCUCUUAAGUUGUCUUAAAUGUUGAGUAAAGUCUACCGUUGAGUAGUAAGUCAGGCCAAGGGUUCACUUGGGGCCAGCAAUGGUUCUCGAGUGCCAGUCCCCCUAGGGUGUAGGCUCGGGGCAUGACAAGAGAAUCGUUACACAUAAUGUUAUAGCAUUUGUUAUUGCUAAAUUAUGGUCUAAUGUAAUAAAAUAUGGUCCAAUUUAACAUUUUUAAUUACUAAAUUAAUUAAUUUAACAUUUAAUACAUCCAUCAAAUUGACGUAUGUGGCAACAUUUGUAUUUUCUAUUGGAACAUAUGGUCAAUUUUGUGUUGACAUUAACACGGAUAGGUCAUAUGUUGCAACAUAUGGAGAACAUUACAUGUGAUUUUGAUAUUAAUUCAAUUAACUUUUGACCUAAGACAACAUGUAACACUAAUAUAUAGUGUUACAACAUGUCUAAUUACAAAAUUAUGGUCUAGUGUACCUUCAUCAAAUUUAUUAAUUAUUCAAUACAUAUAGUAUUAUACCACUAGUUCAUCAAAUGACUAAGUAAUUUCAUAUGAUAUUAAUAUAACACAAUAGAGAAUCAUAAUUGCUAAAUUGUGGUCUAAUGUUAUAAAAUAUGGUCCAAUUUAACAUUUUCAAUUACUAAAUUACUUAAUUUAUCAUUUAAUACAUCCAUCAAAUUGGCAUCUAUGGCAACAUAUGUAUAUUCUGUUGGAACAUAUGAUAAAUUAUGUGUUGCAUUUACCACAGAUAGGUCACAUGUUGCAACAUAUAUAUGGAUAACCUUUCAUGUGGGUUUUAUAUUAAUUAUAAUUAAAGUGUGAUUGAAACGUCCAUACUUACACCCCAUAUAAGGAAUGUAAACGGUCGUUGUCAAUUUACAGAACUCAACCAGAGUUGAGGUUGAUCCCACCGAAUUUCUUUACAGAUAAAGUUUCACUAUCGCGUUUACUCAAUUGUCGUUAUUAUUUCCUAAACAAUUAACAAGGAAAGUAAAUUUGGGUCUGAUUGAAAAGUAUUCUAGUAAAACUUAGUUAUGCAGUUCACAAAAGAUCUUGUUGUAAGUUGAUUCAAUCAAUUUAAGGAAACCAGGUUUUGUGUUCACUGUGACAUUGAUUAUAAUGCUCUCCCAUAAAUUGAGUGUCAGGUAAAUCAAUGUUUACAGAACCUUUGCGAAUUAAAUAAAUCUAACGCUUCUCAGCCUAAUCAGAUAAUAUUCACUCUAAUUCUCUCGAACUUAAAGUGUUGUCGAUAUUGGAAUUCUCUUAAUUUGAUAUGGUGUUAAAGAUCCUUUCUCUCGAAAUCCAACUUUAACUCCAAUUCAUAAACUUAGUUUAGCUUUUUCCCAACUAAUGCUUUUCUCUCGAACAAACACCAGAUACAGGCCUGUCUAAAGCGUGCACUCAAUAGACUAAAAUGUUAAUGAAAGCUGUAAACUACAAGUUGUAAACAAAGAUUGCCUUUUACUCAUUUUACGAAAUCGCAACUAGAAUGUCAUCAUAGAUCCCACACACCCAGUCAUGACGUUUAGCCACUCAUGUUUUUACACAAAAAAUCAAUACUGGAUAAUGAAAACAUGUUAAGAGGUACUUACAAAAAUAACUGGUAAAUCAACAACCACUUGAUAAUCUCAAGAUCGAAAUGAACAACUUCCAACCUAUGACUAUAAUCUGAAUGCCAAAAUCUCAAACUCAAAGUAAGCCUCUGUUCUUCUUUUGUUUUCUCUAAAAUGCCGAUGAUGAAUCCUUCUUUCAAAACGACCUAAAGUAAUUCAAAAAUAGAAUGUUUAAAAUGAGUCCUAAUCAAGUUAGGAUUGAAUUGUCGGGCCUUGCCACAGCUACUACCACGACCUGUCACAGUCUUCACGGUCCGUGAAGACCUCCGUGGUUUUACCUUGGAGCUUCCCCAGAGUGGGUCUUCAAACUUGGUCACUGGAAAAUGUAUCACGAGAGCUACCACGGUCCGUAGUGAGGACCAUGGCCCGUGAAGUCACCUGUGGUCUUCACUUGGGCUUCAACUUUCUUUCAACUCUUUCCUGCUUUUAUACUGGUUCAGCUUCACGGUAGGUACCACGGUCCGUGGUAAGGACAACGGCCCGUAUACCCCUCCGUGAUCUUCACUUGGUUGUUCUUGCUCUUCAUCUUCUCAAGGCCCAGUUCUGCCCCACUUUCACGAGCUCAACCGCGGACCGUUAUGAAGUUAACGGUUCGUUACAUUGGUCGUGAACUUCACUUGUUCGACAUCAGUUCUACUUCUUUUUCUGUACAACCUAGAUUCUGUCUACACAAUUAACAAACCCAUCAAAUAUUCCUAAAAUAUCACUUAAUUCCAGUAUUAGUUCAUAGUUAUUAAGCAUCAAAUGUGCCACGAUUUCGUGUAGCAGUUAACUAUAUUAUCAGCACACACCCUGUACAGAUAUGGUUCAUCCCAAAAUUACUGUGUCUACAUCAUGCAGGAACCUUUUCCUUUGCUGAUAUGUUAGUCCCUCGGGCAUUAAAUCACUGACCAGAAAAUUAGCAUAGUCAGCAAACUAAGGAAUAAGGUCAAGAGUAGCAGCUAAUACCUGCUCAUCCGGGAAUUUGUCAUCUAUCUCAAGCUCAAGUUCUUCCUUCUUUAUAGCUUCCAACCUAGACAGGUGAUUAGUUACCUGGUUCUCACAACUUUUCCUAUCUUUCACUUCGAAGUCAAAGUCUUGAAGAAGCCAUACCCAUCGGAUCAGCCUAGGUUUGGCAUCCUUCUUUGCAAUGAGAUAUCUCAAAGCAGCAUGGUCUGUGUGAACUAUCACUUUAGUGCCCAGAAGAUAAGCUCUGAACUUUUCAAAAGCAUACACUACAGCCAAUAGUUCCUGUUCAGUGACUGUGUAGUGUCGAUGUGCCCCAUUUAGCGACUUACUAGCAUAGUAAAUCGAAUGGAACAUCCUAUUGCGCUUUUGUCCCAACACAACUCCUAACGCAGUCCCACUAGCAUCACACAUCACCUCAAAUGGCUCCGCCCAGUCUAGGCCAAUAAUCACUGGUGAUGAAAUCAGUUUCUCUUUUAGGCACUUAAAAGCUUUAAGGCAUGUCUCAUCAAAGACAAAUUUCACCUCCUUCUCGAAAAGCUUGCACAUGGAGUGUGCAAUUUUUUAGAAGUCUUUGAUGAAACUCCUAGAGAAUCUGGCGUGUCCUAGGAAGCUUCGAACACCCUUCACACAGAUUGGUGGAGGAAAUAUUUAAAUCACCUCAAUCUUAGCCUUGUCGACCUCAAUUCCUUUUUGUGACACCUUGUGUCCAAGGACUAUGCCUUAUUUUACCAUGAAGAGGCACUUCUCCCAAUUUAGCACUAAGUUGGCUUCCUCACAUCUCUAUAAAGCCCUGCUAAGAUUCAACAAACAGUCAUCAAAAGUAUCGCCUACUAUAGAGAAGUCAUCCAUAAAUACCUCUAGAGUGUCCUCAACCAUAUCCUGAAAAGAUGGACAUCAUACACCUUUGAAAUGUGGCUAGGUGCAUUACAUAGUCCAAAUGGCAUGCAUUUAAACGCAAAGGUGUCAUAAGGACAUGUGAAGGUGGUCUUUUCCUGAUCUUCAGGUGCAAUUUAUAUCUGGUUGUAGCCAGAGUAUCCAUCUAAGAAACAGUACCAUCUUUUACCUGCCAAUCUGUCAAGCAUCUGGUCCAUGAAAGGCAUGGGGAAAUGAUCCCCCAAAGUCCACUUGUUCAGCUUCCUGUAAUCCAUGCACACUCGCCAUCCAGUGACCGGUCUCUGCGGGACUAAUUCAUUCUUGGCAUUUGCCACCACAGUCAUGCCUCCCUUUUUAGGCAACAUUGCACUGGACUGACCCAGUGGCUAUCAGAAAUAGAGUAGACCACCCCAACAUCUAACCAUUUGAUUAUUUCUUUCUGAACCACCUCUUGCAUAGGUGGGUUCAAUCUCCGUUGGUGUUCAAUACUCGGGUUGUAGUCUUUCUCAAGCUGAAUCUUUUGCGUGCAAAUACCUAGAGGUAUCCCGAUUAUAUCAGCAAUGGUCCAUCUAAUGGCUCUUUUAUAUCUUUUUAGCACCUUGAUCACCUCUUGUACCUGCUCUUCAUUCAAAUUUGCAGCCAAAAUCACAGGUAAAGUGUUAUUAGUACCCAAGAAUACAUGCCUGAGAUGAUUGGGUAAUUGUUUCAGCUCUAGCACUGGUGGCUCCUCAAUGGAUGGUUUCGCUGGAGGACUUGGCCUGUCUUUCAAGUCCAAGACCAAUUUCUUUGGAGCAUACAAAUGUGCUCCCAUACCCUGCAAGGCAUUCACGGUCUCUACAUAGUCAGACCAGAAAUCCUCAUCAAAGUUCAUCAGUACUGCUGCUAAUGUUUCAACAGCCAUUCUCUCUUUUAUAGGUACCAUCAUGGCUUCAUCAGUGACCAUCUCUAUUGCAAAUAUCACAUUCAUAUCUCAUGGUUAUUUCAUUGACCUAUAAAUAUUGAACGUUACCUCAUAUGUGUUGAGUCUGAACUUCAACUCUCCUCUCUCAACAUCCACUAAAGCUCUUCCCGUGGCUAAGAAGGGUCUUCCCAAGAUGAUGGGAACCUCAAAAUCCACUUUGCAAUCCAGAAUCACAAAAUCAGCUGGAAAAAUAAAAGUGUCCACCUUUACCAAUACAUUACACAGGAUUCCCACCGGCCUCUUUACUGACCUAUCAGCCAUCAUCAACCUUAUUGCUAUAGGGUUUGGUAUUCCCAAACCUAACUUUUUAUAAAUGGCUAAAGGCAUCAGAUUUAUGCUAGCUCCCAGAUCACAUAAAGCUUUUGCAAACUUGAUUGACCCAAUGGUGCAUGGUAUUGUGAAUGCACCUGGAUCCUCCUUUUUCUGCACCAGAGAUCUGGUAGCAAUGGCACUGCAAUGAUGAACCUCGUUAGAGAGAUCAAGACUUACAGCUCUUUUCUUGGUGACCGAGUCUUUCAUGAACUUGGCGUACCCUGGCAUCUGCUCUAGAGCUUCAACCAAUGGAAUGUUUACUGAAAGUUGUUUCAGCAUGGUGAUGAAUUUCGUAAACUUUCCAUCUUCAGCUUUCUUUUUGAGCCUUUGAGGGAAAGGAGGAGGUGGCCUGGGAAUCUGCUGUAAGGGCAAGUGUUCCUGAAGCUCUUUCUCUUUUCCUCUCGAAGGUUGUUCUUUAGGUUGAGCCUGUUGAUCCUCCCCCAGCUCAUAUACCUAUAUAUUCUCAUCUUCCUCUCUGCUAGCUUGCUCCAAGACCUGUUCAUACUUGCUACCUGCAGAAAUAGGGUCAGAAAAAACUUUACCACUCCUGGUGGCAAUGGCCAUGCAAUGUCCAUCCUUCUUGGGAUUUUGAAUGGUAUCACUUGGUAGUAAUCCAUUCUUUCUCUAAUUCAGUGAAGUUGAGAGUUGCCCCAACUGCUGCUUUAUUUGUUUAAUGGAGGUGGUGUGAGAGUCCACCAACUGACUAAUGCUCGAGAAAUCACCUCUCAUUUCUUUCACCCCUGUAUCACUUGACUCAACCUUCUAAAGUACCUUAGCCAUCAUGUCCUCAAGCUUAGACCCGUUAGAACUACCAUUCGCCCGGUCUCUAUUACCUGGGGGUACAUAUACACCAUUGCGAUCAUUCAUAUACCCAUCUCUGUUUUGCCAGUUUCUUUGAUCUCUAAUUGCUGGCCUUUCAUACUGACUAUCCCUAGCAUAACUCCGACCUGUAUUUCUAGAAUUGUAACCCUGAUUUCCAGAGUUAUAAUUCCGGAAACCUCCUUGAUUCCCCAAAUAGUUAGCUUCCUCAUCAAUGUCAAGAUCCUGAUCUUCAUACCUGUUUUGUUGUCCCACAGCAUUCACCUUUUCAGACUUGGCAACAAUGUGCUUUGUGAGCAAGUCUAUUUGAGUCAUCAUAUGUGCCAUGUCUUGGUCCCUUUCUUCUUCUCUCUUCCUCUGUUCAGCUGAACACUCAAAUGUAUACCCAAGCUCUCCUACCUCUGCAUCUCUAGUGUACCAUGCUCUGUUGUUCUUUGAGACCUCAUCUAAUAGCUGCAUUCUUUCUGCAAAUGGCUUCCUCAUAAAUGAGCCUCCACAAACUGCAUCAACAAUAGGUUUAGUAACAUAAUUCAGAGACCUAUAAAAGGCAUGUUUAAGAUUGCUUUCAGUAAGAUCAUGGUUGGGGCAUUUCUUCAACUUUUGGUUGAACCUCCACCAAGUAUCAUGCAUUGCUUCUCCUGGUAGUUGCUUGUGUUUACUAAUCUCGUCCUUCAUCUGCAGCUCUUUUGAUUAAGGGAAGAAUCGUUCCAGGAAAGCUUCCUUCAACUCAUUCCAAGUUCUGAUGGAGUCAUCUGGCAUUUCAUUCAACCAGUUAGUCGCCUCUCCAGUAAGAGACAAUGGAAACAGCCUCAAUCUCAUUGUUGUUUGGUUGACCCCAGGAAUCUCUUGUAACUUACAAAUAGCCACAAAAUUCAUCAAGUGUUGAUUCGCAUCAUCACUAGCUGCACCCCUAAACAUACCUUGAAGGUUCAACAAUUGAAUCAUAGUGCUGGUGAUUGUGAACUUAACACCCGGAGGUAAUGCAGGUAACACUAUCGCUCCAGUGGCUCCAACUCCAUCCAGAUCUGCAUCAUCUUCAUCAUACAUCAUGUGCGUUGGAUGUUGAGUUCUACCCCCUUUGGGCUAUUGGUUGGCGCUGGGGAGGGAUCAAUCCAUCCACUCCUUUAUUCUCAUCUACCACCCUAGGUUUGUAGUACCACAAUUCUACUGAAAACCUCUUAUGGCGGCUUCAGCUUCUAGUCCCAAUCUUUGUCUUUGUGCCUCCAGUUCUUGUGCAUUCACCAUUUUUCGAAGAGACUUUUCGAGUUCUGAGUCGUAAGGGAUCAAUGGAGGUCCUUUACUCCUUGUUCUUGGCAUACACAGUAACGCUCACCUGAAAGAGACACAAACACAUAACAAAACAUAAAAUUAGGAAAUAUAACUACAAAUUGAAUAAAAGCUAGUAAAACACUUCUGAAUUGAAAUUUCCCGGCAGCGGCGCCAAAAUAUGAUACGUCCAAACUUACACCCCAGAUAAGGAAUGUAAACGGUCAUUGUCAAUUUACAGAACUCAACCAGAGUUGAGGUCGAUCCCAUAGAGAAUUUCUUUACAGAUAAAGUUUCACUGUCACGUUUACUCAAUUGUCGUUAUUAUUUCCUAAACAAUUAACAAGGAAAGUAAAUUUGGGUCUAAUAGAAAAGUAUUAUAGUAAAACUUAGUUAUGAAGUUCACAAAAGAUCUUGUUGUAAGUUGAUUCAAUCAUUUUAAGGAAACCAGGUUUUGUGUUCACUAUGACAUCGAUUAUAAUGAUCUCCCGUAAAUUGAGUGUCAGGUAAAUCAAUGUUUACAGAACCUUUGCGAAUUAAAUAAAUCUAACGUUUCUCAGCCUAAUCAGAUAAUAUUCACUCUAAUUCUCUCGAACUUAAAGUGUUAUCGAUAUUGGAAUUCGCUUAAUUUGAUAUGGUGUUAAAGAUCCUUUCUCUCGAAAUCCAACUUUAACUCCAAUUCGUAAACUUAGUUUAGCUCUUUCCCAACUAAUGCUUUUCUCUCGAACAAACACCAGAUAUAGGCUUGUCUAUAGCGUGCACUCAAUAGACUAAAAUGAUAAUGAAAGCUGUAAACUACAGGUUGUAAACAAAGAUUGCCUUUUACUCAGUUUACGAAAUCGCAACUAGAAUGUCAUCAUAGAUCCCACACACCCAGUCGUGACGUUUAGCCACUCAUGUUUUUACACAAAGAAUCAAUACUGGAUAAUGAAAACAUGUUAAAAGGUACUUACAAAAAUAACUGGUAAAUCAACAACCACUUGAUAAUCUCAAGAUCGAAAUGAACAACUUCCAAUCGAUGACUAUAAUCUGAAUCCCAAAAUCUCAAACUCAAAGUAAGCCUCUGUUCUUCAUUUUUUUCUCUAUAAAUCCGAUGAUGAAUCCCCCUUUCAAAACGACCUAAAGUAAUUCAAAAAUAGAAUGUUUAAAAUGAGUCCUAAUCAAGUUAGGAUUGAAUUGUUGGGACUUGUCACGGCCACUACCACGACCCGUCAAGGUCUUCACGGUCCGGGAAACCCUUCGUGGUCUUCCCUUGGACUUCCCAUAGUUUGGGUCUUCAAUGCUACCCACUGGAACAAGGACUAUGGAUUGCGCCAUGGUUCGUAGUGAGGACCACUGCCCGUGAUGGCAUCUGUGGUCUUCACUUGAUUCUAACAUUCUUCCAACUCUUCCUUGCUUUCACACUAGUUCAAUUCCACGGUAGGUACCAUGGUCCGUGGUAAGAGCUACGGCCCGUAAAACCCUCUGUGGUUGUCACUUGUUUAUUACUCCUCUUCAUCUUCUCAAGGCCAACACUGCUUCACUUUCACGAGCUCAACCACGGACCGUCGUGGUUUUGCCUUGGAGCUUUUCCAGAGUGGAUCUUCAAACUUGGUCACUGGAAAAUGUACCACGAGAGCUACCACGGUCCGUAGUGAGGACCAUGGCCCGUGAAGUCACCCGUGGUCUUCACUUGGGCUGCAACCUUCUUUCAACUCUUUCCUGCUUUUAUACUGAUUCAGCUUCACGGUCCGUGGUAAGGACAACGGCCCGUAUACCCCCUCUGUGAUCUUCACUUGGUUGUUCUUGCUCUUCAUCUUCUCAAGGCCCAGUUUUGCCCCACUUUCACGGGCUCAACCACGGACCGUUAUGAAGUUAACAAUUCGUUACAUUGGCCGUGAACUUCACUUGGUCGACAUCAGUUCUGCUUCUUUUUCUAUACAACCCAGACUCUACCUACACAAUUAACAAACUCAUCAAAUAUUCCCAAAAUAUCACCUAAUUCCAGUACUAGUUCAUAGUUAUUAAGCAUCAAAUGUGCCACGAUUUCGCAGCACAUCAGUGACCUAAUACAGCAUGUAACCCUAAUAUAUAGUGUUAUAUCAUUUCUAAUAAUUAAAUUAUGGUCUAAUGUAGUAACUUUCAUCAAAUUUAUUAAUUAUUCAAUACAUAUAGUAUUAUACCACUAGUUCAUUAACUGAUGAUAUGUGAUUGUGAUAUAAUACAAUAGAGAAUCGUUAUACAUAGUGUUAUAGCAUUUUUUUAAUUGCUAAAUUAUGGUGUAAUGUAAUAAAAUGUGGUCUAAUUUAACCUUUUGAAUAGUAAAUUACUUAAUUUAUCAUUUAAUACAUUCAUCGAAUUGGCAUUUGUGGCAACGUAUGUAUAUUAUGUUGGAGCAUAUGGUCAAUUUUGUGUUGCAAUUACCACAUAUAGGUCAUGUAUUGCAACAUAUGUAUAACCUUACAUGUGGUUUUUGAUAGUAAUUCAAUUAAAUUUUGACCUAAUAUAUACAACAUGUAACACUAAUAUGUAGUGUUAUCGCAUGUCUAAUUACAAAAUUAUGGUCUAAUGUAACAACAUUCAUCAAAUUUAUGAAUUGUUCAAUACAUAUAGUAUAAUACCACUAGAUUCAUCCAAUGACUAAGAUAUUCAUAUGAUAUUGAUAUAACACAAUAGAGAAUCGUUAUUCAUAGUGUUAUAGCAUUUUCUUUAUUGCUAAAUUAUGGUCUAAUGUAAUAAAUAUGGUCCAUUUUAAUCUUUUUAAUUACUAAAUUACUUAAUUUAUCAUUUAAUACAUCCAGCAAAUUGACAUAUGUGGCAACAUAUGUAUAUUCUGUUGGAACAUAUGGUCAAUGUUGUGUUGAAAUUACCACAAAUAGGUCAUAUGUUGCAACAUAUAGAUAACGUUACAUGUGGUUUUUGGUAUUAAUUCUAUUAAAUUGUGACUUAAAACAACAUGUAACAAUAAUAUAUAGUGUUAUAGCAUGUCUAAUUACAAAAUUAUGGUCUAAUGCAAUAACCUUGAUCAAAUUUAUCAAUUAUUUAAAACAUAUAUAUAGUAUUAUCCCACUAGUUCAUCAUCCAAUGACUAAGUAAUUUCAUAUGAUAGUGAUAUAACACAAUAAAGAAUUGUUAUACAUAGUGUUAUAGCAUUUUUUAUUGCUAAAUUAUGGUCUAAUGUAAUUAAAUAUGGUCCAAUUUAAUAUUUUUAAUUACUAAAUUACUCAAUUUAUUAAUUAAUAUAUCCAUCUAAUUGGCAUAUGUGGCAACAUCAUCUACCAAAGUUGCAACAGAAUAUGAAUCAGUUUCAACAGAAUUUACAUAAUUUGUAACAUAAUAUGAAGUAGUUGCGAAAGAAUAUGACUAAGUUGCAACAGAAUACAAACUAUUCCAUUUCCAUGGGCGGACCCCGACCCAUAACUGGCCCAACAAUAAUUAACAUGUAAGUUGGCUGAGAAGGAGAAUGACAUUUUAGACCUGUAACUACAGCAAACUUCUUUUUGCCAAAGAAGAGUAGCAUGCCACAAUAAUUAAUCAAAACAUCAUCCUUCUUUUCAUUAUUCUCAAACAUAAACCUUUUCUUCAGAAGUUCUUAGACAAUGCUCAUUUGAAAACGUGCAUUAUUAUUCAGUGUCACAACCCAGACCGUCGUGAUUGGCACCCACACUAACCAUCCGGUGGGAGAACCACUACUACAACCAAACUAAGCAACUAAAACAAUACUAAGGCAAUUAAGUUACGGAAACAAGUUAAUUAACUAACAAAUGCGAAAAUUUAAUACUUAGAACCUGAAAGUCAAUGUACCAAAACAUAUAAACAAAUGAUCCAAGUCUAAACAAGAAGGGAUACAUCCCCAAUUAACAAACUAAUCAACUAACUAGAACAAAUAUCUAAGUCCAGAAUGAUGGACAUAGACGAAAGAGAAUCCCAUGGCAGCUCGAAAAAAUUGGCUCACCCUUAAAUUCGAAGCAAUGAUCACAAAUCUUCUAAGUGAGGUCUACCAGUAGCCGCUUGAAGAUGCCAUGUACUCAACAAAAAUAAGAGCAAGUGCAGUAUCAGUACACAACCACAGUGUACUGGUAGGAUCACGCGACUAUCACACUAGUACAACAUAAACAAGUCAAACAACAUUAUAAUCACAUGCAUAUAUAUCAACAUAUACAACAUCAUCAACAUGAAGAAUCAAUAUCGCAUUUCACAUUUAUUAUCACAUCAUUGGUCCUCUCACGGAACCCAAACAGUUAGCAUGUCAGCACGUGGCAAUUUGAUCCCAUAUUUAUGCCGGAACGUGGUAAUCCGAUCCAAUAAUUAUGCUGGAACGUGGCAAUCCUAACCAAGUUAGUUAUGUCGGAAAGUGGCAAUCCGAUCCCAUUCACACAAUAAAAUCACAAACACAAGUACAUCAUCAAGAUCAUACAUUUAAGCCAUGAUUUCAUGGCAAUGAUAUUCAUCUAUCUCAUUUACAACAAGUGUGAUCAACAUUGCAACAUUCAUACAUACACAAGUAUCAUAAUGAGGCAAGAACAAGCAUACAUUACACAAACAUAGAAUCACAACCAUCACCUACCUCGAAAUAAGCUUGAAACCUUAAGAAAUUUCAUCCUUCCCUUUCGGAUUCGUUCCGCUUGUUCUUGGUCUACAAACAAUCACAAUAACACGUGAAUCAACGCUAAUUACCCAAAACUAUAACAAUUCUAUGAACCCUAGAUCAAACACAUGAUCCCAACUAACCAAUUUAGGGUUGUUUUCACCAUAGAAUCAUAACAAAACCCUUCUUCAUCAAUAUUCACCCAUUCUAUUACGUUCUACGGAUCGAUAACGAAUUCGGGGAGUGAAAAGCAUACCUUUAGCUUCAAGAAUGGUGAAAAAUGAGUAGAAAUCGCCUGGGGGUCGUUCCUUAGCUCUAAAAGUCGAAAAGUACCAAAUAAGGUCGUUUAGGGGUUUAUUAACAACAUUAAGUCGCGUCUGACCCGCCACAACGGCCCUCAUCCCGUUGUAGCGGCGGUGCCAGAGUGACCAAAGUGCAUGCCAAAGUGACAUUCUUGAACCUUGAGUUAUUCGUCUUUCAUCUUCGAUUUUAAGUCUCAUCGUACCCGCCACAGCGCCCCACAUCCUACUGUAGCGGCCCCGCCAUAGCGUCCCAAUCCAGCAACAAAGCGGCAAAAAUGAAACAGAAUGCUAUUUUAAAUAAUUCCAAACCCCUAUUCCACAACACACUUCUAACCCACGACGCUCAGAAAAUACCAUUCACGCAAAGAUCGAUUCCCGGAGAUCUAUUCACCCAAAUUCAAUUUUACGUAAAGUCGUACGGUUUCCUUAACAAGUUAUCUAGCUACUCAUGCGAUCAAACUCAAAAACAACUCACCCGAUUGUUACCAGAUUUUCCCACACCUCAAGGACUUCGAUUUCGUCUAAAUCUGGACAAGGUUGGGAAAAUACAAAUACUACGAACAAGUUUUUACGGCCCCAAAUUUUCCCCCGUUGGCAUUUCUAUAACGACGGCACCCGGUCGUUACAUUCAGAGGCAAAUCAAGAUAUUGCCCAAAAUAACUAUUCCUAAAUAAAUCCUCCAAAUCAUUCUCCCGAAGUAUUUUCCUGAAAGAUUCGAAAAAAUUUCCCAAGGCUGACCUUAUAAUGCUAUCACCAGUAGCAUUUGGCUGGAAAUGCACAAGAAAAGUGUGUGCAUUGACAGUUUUGACAACAUCAUCCUCAACUUCAUUUUAUUUCUUCUUCCUCCUCAACUACAUUUAUUUCUUCUUCUUCCUCAACUUCUUUUUUUCCUUAUUCUUCCUCAACUUUUUUUUUUCUUGUCUGUGUUCCUUAUCCUCAAUUUUUUCUUCACUUUCUUCUUCCUUAGUUUUAUUUUUAUCCUGUCUUUCUUCCUCAUUCUCAAUUUUUUUUCUUGUUCUUCUUCAUCAGCUUCAUUUUUAUCUUGUUUGUUUUCAUCAUCCUCAAUUUUAUUCUUGUCCUUCUUCCUCUUCAUCAACUUCAUGGAGAAUUUCAAGUUCUUCUUGAUAAACUCCUAAUUCUACUUGAGAAGAAGAAACAAAUGAUUCUACUUGAAAAGAAACUGCUUCGGAUGCAAUUUCUUGUAAAAGAGAAGAACUAAAAUUUCAGUUGUUACUACAAUUUUUCUUUUGACAGGAGGCAUUAUAUUUGUAUCUACAAAAAUUUGUCAACAACCAACCACAAAAUCAAAUAUUUCUUAACAAAAAUAACAACCAAACACAACACGCAUCAACAAAAACAACAACACAUCACCCCCUCACAAAACUCCAAAUACGAUUAAAUACCACAUAUGAACCAACCAACCAACCACAAAGCCCUCCAUAAACCCUAACCAACCAACUACAAAUUGAAGCCUUUUGAAAUCAAAUAAUAUUUCAAAAAAAAGAAUAACAACCAACCAUUAAUCACUAAAAACCUCCUAAUUUAAUAUCAGCAAAUAUUUUAAAAUUCUAAUUUAAUUUUAAUUGAGAAGAUAUCGACGAUAAAAGGAAUGAGCGAUAACGAUGACGUGGUUGGAACUACUGUAGAGACACAGAAACUGCAACAAAUUACACUUUAUGUUGUAGAAAAUAUCACAACAACAAGUGGAUCUGUGGAGAAAUAAUGAAGAAACCAGAGAGAGAAGAGAAAUGAAAUAGAAGAGAGAGAAAGAGGAGAAAGAGAAACAAAAAGUUGAUUUUUUUAAUAUGAAGCGUUGUUCAUCCCCAAGCGUCUUUUAUAUAGAUGACUAUAAUUUCUUUCUUUUUAACUUUUUUAAAUUUUGGCAAGUUACAACACAUGCCAAUUCAAAGUGACAUAUGUUGCCACAUAUCGCCUUUAUGUUGGGGCACAUGCAGAUAAUUGUGUGAUUUUUUACAACAAAGGCUAUAUAUGUUGCCACAGAUAUCAAUUUAUACUUUUUGUUGACACAAAUGAAUCUUCUGUUGCCAUAAAUGAACCUUUUGUUGACACAUGUUGCCAUAGAUGAAUCUUCUGUUUCAACAUGUGAGUAACAUGUUACUAAUAUGUUGCAACAUACGACACUUCUUUCAACAAUGAAAUAUAUAUUGUACAACGGAACAAACUAUAUUUCUACAAUCAUAUGGACAAAAUGGUCACAAAAAGAAGAACAAAAGCAACAAAAAAUGACUUUUCACUGAACCACAACAAUACAUAUAUAUUUCCUCAAAAUUAGAAUUUUUUUUGAGUUUUUUUAUUUUCUAUCAAAAACAAGAAAUAAUAGGUAUCAUUACACCAUUAUUCAAUUUUCACAUCUAUAGAACGAUUUCUUGUUCAAUAACCCAAGAAAAGAACUAAGUAUCAAGAGUUUGUUGUUCGAAAAUUCUAAACUCUUUCAAAAAUAAAAACGAGUGACCCAUUUUAAGAAGAGUGACAAUCGAAGACGGCAUUUAGUUCAGAAAGAGAGAGUGAAGGCCGGAGAUGAGGAGGAAGAGAACGAGAAUUUUUGUUGAUGGUCGGAUUUUCUAAGGAAGAAGAAGAAGAGAAGAACAUUGGAGAGGAGAAGAAAAACUUUUGAAUCCUAUUUUCUUUUAGCUUUUUCCCUUUUUUUAAAUGUUUUGUUAGAAUUAGAGUAGUUGAAAAAUGUAGUGUUUUUUUGUAUUUUAUAAAAGAUUAAAAAGUUUUGAAAAUAUUAAUUUGAUCCCAAAUUAACGUAAUUACAUUUUAAAGUGGGUUUGACCCUUUCUUGAUCAAAGUGUCACCACAAAUAAAAUCAAGACUUAUUUGACACAUUUUAUUCAAUUCUCUAGAUAGUUUCUUCCCAUCCCUGCCCCCCAAGAUAUUUAAGAUAAUACAAAUUUACUUUUUCCACAACUAUACAAUCCUCCAUUUAAACAUUAUUCUUUUUCACAAAUAAUAUUAUGAGUUUAAAAGAUAUAACAAGAUAUACCACUAAUGUUAAAAAAACUAUUUUGAUUUUUAAGAUACCAUAAUGAAAUGAUAUACCACUAAUGUAAUAACAACUAUUUUGAUUUUUAAGAUGCCAAAAUUACCCUCAACGCAUCAAUAAAAUAUUCCUAAAGCUAUAAAAAAAUUACUAAGCAAGAGAACAUCUAAAUACAGAUAUCAAUUUCAUCCUUCAGAUCUAUUUGUAAAUUUGACAUCUACUCUUGAUUUUCUCACUUAAAAGCUAGGUAAUAAAAACGGAGUUUUGACAACUUAUGUGUAACCUGGUACGAAUGAAAUCCACAAAGGUAACCAUAAUAAUGCAUAGUUGGUUCUUGACACACUUAGUUAUAAACUAGUUUCACGGCAUGUGUGUAUCGUAUAUAUAGUAUAUGAUGUUGUAAAAUAUAAUUAAUAUUACUAAAUUAUAACUUUUUAGUAAAUAAUUAUAAUUGAACGAACAUAGGACAAGUGUUUUUAAAUGAUAAAUACAUAAUGUCAUAGAGUUACUUGUAUUUUGAGAUCAAAAUGACCAAAUGUCAUUAAAACAUUUUAAAAUACAUUCAAAGUUUAAAUAUGGGAGAAAGUUACAUUUCUUUAGUAGUAGUAUUUCUUACUUCCCUCAAUUUUGUAAACAAAAUCUAACCAACAAAAUCGGAAAAAAAAUAUCCAUUCAAAAAAUGUCACCAAUAGACUUUCAGCUUGAGGUUAUGAACAUAAAUGAUGUAAACCAUUUAAGUACAAAUUUUGUCUUAAAUAUUCAUACUUGAAAUUUAGUAUGUGCAUGACACUAAUAAGGAUUACCAUAAGUAUUUCAAUAUUUUAUCUUUAUAUGUAAUAUAUCUUUUGCAAAAUAUUAUUACUCAAUUAAUAUUUAAGCAAGUCUAUCAUAGAGAGGUAAUUUUACCAAAAAAAUGUACUUUGUUAUUAUCUUGAAUGAUGGUUAAAUACAAGUUUGAGCGUAUGUCAAAUAUUUAGCUUGACCAAUUCUUUGUUUUAGAUAUAUAGACUUCAAUAGAUAUUUUAACUUUAAUAUAUGAACAACAUCACCUAUGGUGAAAAAUAUUUCAUUUCAUUAAGUUUCUACCUUAUCUUUGUGGAAUUGUAGUCUUCUCAUUUUUUCUACCGCAUACAUAUCAUAUAUUUGUUGUCUAAUGAAAGUAUCUAGUAUCUUGUAGAAGUUAUAUCAUGAUAUAAAAUAUUUAAAUUUUUCAAUAAUAAAAAUUAAUAGAUGAAUAAAAUUUAAAGUAUUAUUUAUAGAAUCAAUAAUUUUAUUUAAGAUCAUUUUAUGAGCAAUCACUGUUUUCUUAUCUAUUUUUAUAUAGCUAGUACGGAGUGUAUCUUGUGACAUAAAGAAAAAUUAUAUGGAACAAUAUAUAGCCAAUGAAGAACGAAGACAAAAAUAUAUGUUCAUGCUAUAUUCACUCUAGUGUUCCAUUUGAUUUAAAAUCUUGCCACCAACACUUUGCUUUCUCCGUUCAUUUUUACAUACACAUCUAUUAAAAAAUUAUUAUUAUCAUUCCUAUAUUAUCAUAUUAUAAGUAAAAGUGAAAAUCUAUUUUUGAAAUAGUGAAUUUAACAUCAAAACUAUUAAUUUAAAGGACUACAUUGAUUCCCAUUGUUUUAGCAAAAUUAGGAAGAAACUCCUUCAUCUGAGGGUAAAAGAAUAAAAAAUAAAAAAACAAAGAAGAACUAUCUUACCCAAAUCAUUUUUCAUAUCUGUUUAAUAUUAUUAUCUCUCCCACAACUUUUUGUCAUUGUUAACUCAUGAAAAUCGUAAGGAAAAAAUACGAGUGUGAGAAUUGAUGCAUGAUUUGCUACAAUUUAUUCAUCAACUCUUUCUUAUGAGGUACCUCGAAUUUCAUUGAGUUUCGAACUUAAUCAAUUUUUGCAAAUAACACUUGAGAUUUUUUAAGAAGAAGAGUAGAGAACUUAAAGAAAUUGUAGUUUAAAAGUGUGAGGAAAACCCACUAUUUAUAUCUACCAAAUAAUAGUAUGAAUAGGUGUUAAUUGUGCCUUAUCCAAAAAGUCACAACCUUUCGAAAAAAUCACUAUUUAUCAAAAAAGUCACUCACAACCCUUUUAAAAAGGCACAACUCAUCAGAAAAGGCACAAUCCUUUAGAAAAGUCACAACCCUUCGAAAAAGUCACAACUCAUUGAAAUUGUCACAAUCCUUUGAAAAAGUCACAACUCAUUCAAGAAGUUACAAUCAUUUAAUAUGAAAAGGUAUCUACUUUCAAUAUAAUAAAAUUAAUUAAAUUAAUAAAUAAAAUAAAUUGAGUAUUUUUAAUUGGGGUAUUAUAGUAAUUCAACAUUCAAGUUUGUGAGUGUAAAUAGAUAGAGAUAUAGAUAUAGAUAUAGAUAUAGAUGUAUCAAGAUAAGAAUUUUAGAUAUCACAAGCAGAAUGUAAGUUUCACCUUCAAAAACGAAUUAGGUUAUAAUAGUCAUAGAAUUCACUCUCCACCUUGUUAUUGAGUUGACCUGUGCAUCUCAUCAAUGGAUAACACAAGAGAUGCACAACAGCAAAUAUUAAAUGCUAUAGCAAUUAGCAACCUAAAGUCAAGAAUAAUCAUAAGCCACUCAGGGGAGGGGAACAAAUGCAAGUUCCAUGAAAACAAAGAUUGAACAUAAACACAACUGCAUUUAGAAUUCACAUUGAUUGCGACUACUUCUACAAAAUAUUGGCUUCACUUCAGCACUUCUUAAUUGUAUACAGGAACCCCAACAGCCAAAGCAAACUACUGCUAAAUUUCAUAACAGAGUAACUCGGGAGAAAUUAAGAACCUAAUUAUUUUUAAAAAAAAUAAAAAUACAAGCUACUGUAUUAGUACAUGAAAAAUGUAUUUUGCUUGAAAGAAUACAACACAGAAGCCAUUCUAACUAAAAUCUGCACAACAGUUACAACAGUGUGAACUUGUUCAUAGCUGCACAGGCAAUAGCAUUAAACUCCCAGCUGCCUCCAAAAGAAAUGGCAAAAGAGGAACUUCCAUGGCUGAAACUGAAAUCUACAGGAAAAGUCAAGUGUUUCUGCUACUCCUUGCAACACUGCAUUAUGAUCUAUGUAGAACUCUAAUCAUUUUGAAGAAAGUACAAUUGUCGUAUAUUUCCUGAAGC
rnacentral:lncRNA from 1 species